rnacentral:rRNA from 1 species
AACGGUAGAGUAGCAAUACUCGAGAGUGGCGAACGGGUGAGUAAUAUAUCGGAACGUGCCCAGUCGUGGGGGAUAACGUAGAGAAAUUUACGCUAAUACCGCAUACGAUCUAAGGAUGAAAGCGGGGGAUCGCAAGACCUCGCGCGAUUGGAGCGGCUGAUAUCAGAUUAGGUUGUUGGUGAGGUAAAAGCUCACCAAGCCGACGAUCUGUAGCUGGUUUGAGAGAACGACCAGCCACACUGGGACUGAGACACGGCCCAGACUCCUACGGGAGGCAGCAGUGGGGAAUUUUGGACAAUGGGCGAAAGCCUGAUCCAGCAAUGCCGCGUGCAGGAAGAAGGCCUUCGGGUUGUAAACUGCUUUUGUACGGAACGAAACGGUCUGCCCUAAUACGGUGGGCUAAUGACGGUACCGUAAGAAUAAGCACCGGCUAACUACGUGCCAGCAGCCGCGGUAAUACGUAGGGUGCGAGCGUUAAUCGGAAUUACUGGGCGUAAAGCGUGCGCAGGCGGUUAUGUAAGACAGUUGUGAAAUCCCCGGGCUCAACCUGGGAAUUGCAUCUGUGACUGCAUAGCUUGAGUACGGUAGAGGGGGAAUGGAAUUCCGCGUGUAGCAGUGAAAUGCGUAAAUUUGCGGAGGAACACCGAUGGCAAAGGCAUCCCCUGGGACCUGUACUGACGCUCAUGCACAAAGCGUGGGGAGCAAACGGAUAAGAUACCUGGUAU